GAGAAAGAUGAAGUAACUUCUGUCCACUGUCAAAGAAGAAGUAUAUUUUGAGGCAGAAAAUUGAGUUUCAUCUUCUCUUGACACCAGGAUCUUACCUGCUCUACUGCCCAGCCAAAUAGGACUUCUCCCAUCCCAGGCCCUUCAGAGAGGCAGCACACAGCAUUCCAGGAGCCAAGAGACGUCAAGCAUCACCAAGCUACACGAGGAUUUUGUGGGCACGUCACACUCUGGGAGCUAAGCCAGAGGGAACAGAAGGCACCAAACUGCUCUGAAAAGUGACUUAUUGUCCAACUGAUGAAGAACAUUUAUUCAAGAUUUUCACAUUAAACAACAUGGCAAAGCCUCAAGAAAUUCCUCAGCCAAGCCCAGCAUCACUGUGAAAUCUUUGUUUGCUCACAUGGACUUACUGACAACUUUGUUGAAACACUUAGCUUUGAGGAAAUUGCUGUGCACGAGGGACAAAAACGGAGCAGACUGUGAGGCCGGGCUGUGCUCCUCGACAAGCAGGCAUGAAAAUGCCAGACAGCCCAGCGCAACUGCUGCUCCCCUCCACUGUGACUAGGCUCCUGGGCAGGGUCAGCUGCAGUGUUGCACGCCUCACAUUUGCUGUGGGCCAGUAAGCGCUCUUCUUGCUGGGCUGGCAAUGAACAGAGCGCUGCUGGGCCCGCUGACUGGUGAGGAGCCGACUAGCCACAGCAUGCUAAAGGACAAGCACAGUGCAAUUGCUGUUGCCCUCCUAUCACCUUUCUUGGUCAGCGGCAGCCAGCGUCCCAGCAGGUGCAUUAUGCCGUUGUGAAUGACCAGAGAGAUUGUCUGGAUGCAUAGACUCCAAAGGGAAGGGGUCAUGGAGCAGUCUGUGCAUCCGCUGUGUUCCUUCAGGGAAAAAAAAAGCCUGGGAAGCAAGGAUGCAGCCUUCGGUGGGACGAUGGAAUGACCGAAUCUAACUCUGCUCCACUAGCCUGCUUGGGAGCUUUAAUGUGAAGUCAUUGCAAGCCAGGGCAGCUUGACAGAGGAAACUAGAGAGAACACCUCAUUUCUGCUUGGGUUGCAAAGGGUAACUCUCCACAACCGUAGCCUUGCCAAAGAUACUGGCAGAGUGCACAAAAGCUGUGCCCCAUUGUUUACCACAGGCACUUAACACAAGGAAGAUUUGCAUGCCUCAUCUCCUUUCCUACCUCAAAUACAGGUAUAAUCCAGCCUGGGUCACAGGUAGCUGUGGCUAGUGGAGCCAUGGAAAUGGUUCUGUCUUAAGCUCAAGAUAAUCCUGUACCACCCACAUCCUGAUCUUUUCUCCCCAGUUAUAAUUCUUCAUAACAUUAUCAUUAUACCUAACUUGGAAAGCCCUCUUCAUUAUGCUACAUUCUCUCCUUUGCUCUUCCUGUAAUAAUAUUAAAAAUAAUAGGCAGGACUUACCUGUCUCUGUAUCAAUGCCUUCUUCCUGCUGCUCGUCUUCCAGGCUGCUCCUUGGGUUUAUUCCUGAAUCAGUCAUUGGGAAGUCCACCAAGGACCCUCAGUGGUCCAUGCGCGCCGAUCAUGGGCUUCCGCCGCUACUUUGCUCUCCUUUAUCUAACGUUCACACUCUCCACGUUCAGAAAUGUGUUGUGGGGAUGGGACUCUGUAGAGGUGGAGAACGGUGCGGUUU